rnacentral:rRNA from 1 species
UACGGAGGGUGCAAGCGUUAUCCGGAUUCACUGGGUUUAAAGGGUGCGUAGGUGGGCAGGUAAGUCAGUGGUGAAAUCUCCGGGCUUAACCCGGAAACUGCCAUUGAUACUAUCUGUCUUGAAUACCGUGGAGGUGAGCGGAAUAUGUCAUGUAGCGGUGAAAUGCUUAGAUAUGACAUAGAACACCAAUUGCGAAGGCAGCUCGCUGGGACGGUACUGACGCUGAGGCGCGAAAGCGUGGGGAGCGAACAGG